UUCCCUCAUCAACAGUUACCUAUUCGAUUGAUACGGACUGAUUCGCUUAGCUGGGCCAAAUCAUUGUACUUUUUCCCCCCUUACAAUCUUGCUACGUGAUACCUUUGCACAAAUCACAUUGUCCCCGUUCAAUUUCUUUGUUAUUUUAAUCGAUUAAAACUAUGGAAAAAAUUCUAGCUGCAGCCGACGCCUUUGUGGGUCUUUUAGCAUUCAGCUUGCAGGUAUCGGCGUUGGCGAUUUAUUCUAAUUGGGUUCCAGAUGAUGUCGCUUCAGGCAUUUGGGGAGGAAUCUACCUGGUCGCCUUUGCUGUUCUAUUGGCUAGCAAAAAAUUGAAAUCGAGUCAAAUUGUCAUGGGCAUGGCGGUAUUCGCUUCGUUGAUUGGUGUCACGAUAAUAGGAUUGUAUUCUUGGAGUAUUGAUGGCUACCAGCGUUUAAUAGCCGACUGUGAAUUGUAUUCAAACAAUUCAACGGUGAACAAUUCUACAGCAGAAGAAAUGUAUCCCGACAUUUUCAGUCCCCUCAAAAUAUGUGACAGAGCGGCCAUCGAUUCUUUGAUGAUCAUUUGUGGCAUUCUAGCUUUUAUCGUCAACGGGUUUAUAGCUGCAACUGCUUCAUCUAUCACUUCAUAACCUUUAUUUCAAUCGAUCAUAAAUCUGAAGUAAUUGGAUGUGUUUUCUGUUCAAUCCAGUUUAUUUGCAUGAAGAUGAACUGUACAUAAUUCGUAAUAGUAAAACAUAAGGUUUGGUUAACAAAUUUCCGUUUCACUUUUUUUUAUCUUGAAUCAUUUGACCGAGAGUUUGUUUACGUUAUCUCAGUCUAACGGUUGUAAAUUGCGAAAUAUUCCCUACGUUUUCAGAGACAAGGUAUGUGUUAAAAAAUUCCUUUUCUCUCUGUUAAUGUUUAUCAUCAAACAUACUGGUCAUUACAAUUACUUGAUAGUUUUUAUAGCUCUCUGCAAAACUUUUCAGUUUAAAUUGGCAAACUACCCUUAAGCAACAAUGGCCAGAUUUUCAUGACCCAUGUGGCGCAUUAUCGUCGAUGUGGAUGGGUAUAAAAGCCCAUCGGUAACUCAAACAAAAUCAUCAGCUACAUCUCGUCACUUCUCCUGUUCGCAUCAGAUUUUAAAAAUGCGUUCGCAAUCAGCUUUUGGAUUUUUAGUCUUGGUCGUUUUUGGAUGCGUGCUACCGAGCAUCUUGGCGGCUCCGUCCAGUGCCGCAGCUGGUAACGAAGAAAA